rnacentral:rRNA from 1 species
GACGAACGCUGGCGGCGUGCUUAACACAUGCAAGUCGAACGGAAAGGCCCUGCUUUUGUGGGGUGCUCGAGUGGCGAACGGGUGAGUAACACGUGAGUAACCUGCCCUUGACUUUGGGAUAACUUCAGGAAACUGGGGCUAAUACCGGAUAGGAGCUCCUGCUGCAUGGUGGGGGUUGGAAAGUUUCGGCGGUUGGGGAUGGGCUCGCGGCUUAUCAGCUUGUUGGUGGGGUAGUGGCUUACCAAGGCUUUGACGGGUAGCCGGCCUGGGAGGGUGACCGGCCACAUUGGGCCUGAGAUACGGCCCAGACUCCUACGGGAGGCAGCAGUGGGGAAUAUUGCACAAUGGGCGGAAGCCUGAUGCAGCAACGCCGCGUGCGGGAUGACGGCCUUCGGGUUGUAAACCGCUUUCGCCUGUGACGAAGCGUGAGUGACGGUAAUGGGUAAAGAAGCACCGGCUAACUACGUG